rnacentral:rRNA from 1 species
UACAGAGGUCUCAAGCGUUGUUCGGAUUCAUUGGGCGUAAAGGGUGCGUAGGUGGCGCGCUAAGUCAGGUGUGAAAUUUCGGAGCUUAACUCCGAAACUGCAUUUGAUACUGGUGUGCUUGAGGACUGGAGAGGAGACUGGAAUUUACGGUGUAGCGGUGAAAUGCGUAGAUAUCGUAAGGAAGACCAGUGGCGAAGGCGGGUCUCUGGACAGUUCCUGACGCUGAGGCACGAAGGUCAGGGGAGCAAACGGG